GACGAACGCUGGCGGCGUGCUUAACACAUGCAAGUCGAACGGAAAGGCCCUGCUUUUGUGGGGUGCUCGAGUGGCGAACGGGUGAGUAACACGUGAGUAACCUGCCCUUGACUUUGGGAUAACUUCAGGAAACUGGGGCUAAUACCGGAUAGGAGCUCCUGCUGCAUGGGGGGGGUUGGAAAGUUUCGGCGGUUGGGGAUGGACUCGCGGCUUAUCCGCUUGUUGGUGGGGUAGUGGCUUACCAAGGCUUUGACGGGUAGCCGGCCUGAGAGGGUGACCGGCCACAUUGGGACUGAGGUACGGCCCAGACUCCUACGGGAGGCAGCAGUGGGGAAUAUUGCACAAUGGGCGGACGCCUGAUGCAGCAACGCCGCGUGCGGGAUGACGGCCUUCGGGUUGUAAACCGCUUUCGCCUGUGACGAAGCGUGAGUGACGGUAAUGGGUAAAGAAGCACCGGCUAACUACGUG
rnacentral:rRNA from 1 species